AACCAUUCUCACCUGCGGCUAGACCUGCGGAGGGAUCAUUAGUGAAUUGUUUUGUGGAUCCUCAUGCAAUCUAACAUGAGUUGACUCCCAAACCCCCCUCACUAUUCCACUCCGGCAAUGGGCUCUCACGAGCCCUGAGCCGAGGGUACUCCCAAUAUCUGCUUAGGAGUCUUUGGAUGGGUAACGUCUAAGACUCUGGAUUGACGGGAUGCCCGAAAAAAAAUGUUGGGUGCAUUUAAC
rnacentral:misc_RNA from 1 species